AAACAAAUUCUCAACUAACUCCAUUCCCCUUUCUCUCACGACCAGAGCCCUCCCCCGCCGCUCGCCGGCCAAGCUCCGGCGCGGGCUUCUCGCUCGCUCCCCCCGCCAAUGCAGCCUUCCAGCGCGCCCAAUCGCGCCGCCGAGGAAACCCUAGCUGCUACUCUCCCGGCGGGGGCACGACCGCGGCCGGCGAAGGAAGACCGGGAGGCGCGGAGGACGGAUUUCUGGUCGCCUCCCGAGCUUAAGCCUGCUCCCUCCCCGCUCUGACCUGCUGCAAACCAUAGCAGCAUCGAGCAUGGCGGGGCCGGCCCCACUCGCCCCUCGCCGUCGAUUUCCCGGCCGUGGGAGCCGCUGCUCUUCCACGGUACAAGCGCGUCUCCAAGCGCGCCUCGCCGUCGAUCUCCGGCACCCCUGUCUCCUCAGCGUUUUCCCACACCAUGGGCGCGGCCGUGAGCGUCCACGACCUGUAGGACCUCGCCCCUCUGCAGCUCUUCCUCGAUGGACGGCAGCACCGCGUCGGAGCUCGGCGGCUCCUAGUUCUGCAGCUAUUUCCUCCCCGAGCUGCUGCCCGAGGUGGUGCUGCCGGCGUCUCCUCUGUGCUACUGUCGGCGAGCACGUCCACGAGCACCUGCUGUCGACCACCUCCACGACAAGCUGCUGCCGGUGAUCUUAAAGUCACUUGGUCUCCAUCAUACAAUAUUGGUUGCUUCUGGUUGGCUUGCACGCUGGAGCAGUAGUGCGUGCUCACUGACCGACUUAUGCCACGCUGGCUGACUGCAUCUUCAAGGAAGGUCAGUGGAGCAACUUGUGGCAGAUCUCGCUACUACCGCUGUCAGCAUGCUACUAUUAGGACCUCUACUGCGAGAAGCAAGUAGGGCUUUGACCUGUUGGUGUGUUCUUGUGUGGCGCCCUUGCUGCCCAUGUUCACCACCAACGAGUCUGAAACCGGAGAGGGUGCUGCUGUCCUGCUUCUUGGCCGUGGGCGACCUCGAGCAUGAGGUCUCCACGAUGGACACGCUCGCCGGCAUCACCGUCAAUUUCAGGGUCGAGCGGGAGGAGUGGAUAUGUUGGAUAGGA